rnacentral:rRNA from 1 species
UAUUACCGCGGCUGCUGGCACGUAGUUAGCCGGUGCUUCUUCUGCAGGUACCGUCACUUGCGCUUCGUCCCUGCUGAAAGCGGUUUACAACCCGAAGGCCGUCAUCCCGCACGCGGCGUUGCUGCAUCAGGCUUCCGCCCAUUGUGCAAUAUUCCCCACUGCUGCCUCCCGUAGGA